rnacentral:ncRNA from 20 species
GUGCCUGACCCUCGUGAUUUGAGCGGCCGGCUUGCGGCGAGGCUAAAGAACUGCGCUAAAGAGGCCCUGCGUCGUUAUCG